AGCAACCAGAGAGACACGCCCCCCCACCAAAACGCAAGAGCAACUCCGCCCUCCCAUUGGCUACGCCGCCUGUGACCCCGCCCCUGAGGAACCAGAGCUGGGGCCCAGGGGGCUGGGCCAGCCUCAGGGGAGGGGCCUUAAAGAGCCCCGGCGGUGUCCAGUGCGCCCAGAGCCGGCAGCGGAGACAAGCAAGAUAGGAAAGGUGAAGGAGCUAAUGUCACAGAGAACUGAAGUAAUUUGUCCGAGACCCCACAGCUUCUGGUGAACCAGGAUUUGAACCCAGGCAAUCGGCACCUGAAUGAGGGCUCCACCAUGCCACUGUACCCCCUCAGAGGGAAUCUUGCCCUUCCUCCCCCCUCUUCCCCUCCUGCAAGGCUCCCUAGUCCACUCACCUUGCCGAAGGUCAAUUUCUGCCAGCUGCCCAUGAGUGUUGCCCACGAUCACUGAACUAAGGAGGAGACCAGAGGUGGCCUCUAGGACUGGCCGACGCUGGGGAGAGGCUGGAUCGUAGACACGGACCUGGAGAACACCGAAGCAUCACGAGAGCACCCUCA